rnacentral:lncRNA from 10 species
GUGAGGUUCCACGUGGGAAGGACACACCUUCCGCUGAAGAUGCGAUCAUGCGGUCAUCACAGAAAUGCGGCCGGCGGCAUUCAUCCACUCGGCCAGGUGCCAGGCACCACUCUUAAGUUCUCCAUACAAAUCAGCUCACUAAAUGCCACGACAGCCCCAGGAAACGGCUAGUUUUAUUUCCCCCGCAUACAACAUGAGGAAGUGAAGGCACCGUUCUGUAACAGUAAAGACCCACAGCAGCUGGGAGGGAAAGGCAAGACUUAGAGGCCAAUGGAUGGUCUCCAAACCGCCUCCCCUUCCCCGCCUGUGCGUUAGGAAUGCCUUUGGCUGAAAGUCACAGAAAACCCAACCACAGAGAACCCAACCACAGAAAACCCAACCACAGCAGCUUGUCCACACAGGUGCAGAGGGAGGCAGAUGUCUGCCAGGCCCACUGUGAGGCCAGGCGUCUCGUCCAGGGCAGGAGGGCAGUGGACAGCCAGCCUGCCAUCCGUACUGCCUGGUCCCCUGGACCCCUCGCUCCCCAUCACUGACCAGUGACUGUUUUCCACCGCUGUCCCCCGCAGCAUCAGAGAACGAGCUCUCAGGGCUCGGGAACUCACCCAGGCUCUCAGCAUUUCUCAAAGUGCCCAGGGAAAGACUGGCCUCUGGAGCUGACGGGGCCAGUUCUGUUGCUUCAAGCUCCCCAUCUGCGGUGCUUUGGCACAGCAGCCCAGGAGACCAGUGCAGUCCCCUUUGGGGAGAAGCCUGGGGAACCCCCUGGUUUCGCCCACUUCCCUCCCCAUGCAGCCAGAAACCCUGUCCAUCGAACAUCCUGCCACUUGGAGCCUGUGGGGAACGCACCAGAGCCAAGCCCUUGCCAGCGCGGACGGCGCCCAUGAGAGGACCGAGGGGGAGGUGGCCCCAGCUUCCCGGGCAGACCCUUAUGAGACAAACCCGAUUAUCUCCACCCAUCAUUCCCUCCUGAAUCCACUGACAAACCAGCCCUGGUGAGUUCGCUGGGGCCUCCCAGGGCAAGGCCAAGUGCAGCAGUUGUCCUGUUGCCCUUGACCCCUGGCUGUGGUCCUCUCUGGGGCUGCACGGGGCCA